UACGCGCAGCAGGACGGAAAGACCCCGUGACCUUUACUAUAGUUUGGUAUUGGUGUUCGGAGUGGCUUGUGUAGGAUAGGUGGGAGACUGUGAAGCGGGCACGCUAGUGUUCGUGGAGUCAUUGUUGAAAUACCACUCUGGUCACUUUGGAUGUCUAACGUAGGACCCUGAUCGGGUUCAUGGACAGUGCCUGAUGGGUAGUUUAACUGGGGCGGUUGCCUCCCAAAGAGUAACGGAGGCGCCCAAAGGUUCCCUCAACCUGGUUGGCAAUCAGGUGGCGAGUGUAAGUGCACAAGGGAGCUUGACUGUGAGACUGACAGGUCGAGCAGGGACGAAAGUCGGGACUAGUGAUCCGGCAGUGGCUUGUGGAAGCGCUGUCGCUCAACGGAUAAAAGGUACCUCGGGGAUAACAGGCUGAUCUUGCCCAAGAGUCCAUAUCGACGGCAUGGUUUGGCACCUCGAUGUCGGCUCGUCGCAUCCUGGGGCUGGAGUAGGUCCCAAGGGUUGGGCUGUUCGCCCAUUAAAGCGGUACGCGAGCUGGGUUUAGAACGUCGUGAGACAGUUCGGUCCCUAUCCGCUGCGCGCGUUGGAAAUUUGAGAAGAUCUAUCCCUAGUACGAGAGGACCGGGAUGGACGAACCUCUGGUGUGUCAGUUGUUCUGCCAAGGGCACCGCUGAUUAGCUACGUUCGGACCGGAUAACCGCUGAAAGCAUCUAAGCGGGAAGCCGUCUUCGAGAUGAGAUUUCCAUGCACCUUGAGUGUGAGAGGCUCCCAGCAGACUACUGGGUUGAUAGGCCGGAUGUGGAAGCGGGGACUAACGACCCGUGGAGCUGACCGGUACUAAUAAGCCGAAGACUUGACACACA
rnacentral:rRNA from 1 species